UAAAAUGCUGGGAAAUUCUUGAGUAGCUGCAGAUUUGGCUUCUCCUCUAGAAUGGCUCAGCUCCGUAAGUAAGUAUCAGAACUUGAUGUAAUAUUUAGAACAUACAGAAAAUACUGUGUUACAUUUAUAUUUUUUCAUUCUGUAAGAUGCUGCUGACAGAUUUUAUUUCAGGCAGAAUAUAAAUUUACUGGGGUCUUUUGGAUCUCCAACCUCCCUAUGUGUGCAAUUGGAAACACUGGAACACGGUGUUCAGAACCCAUGAGAGAGGGUUCACCUAGAAGCAACGUGGAUCUAACUGCAGUAAGGGCAACAAGGAACAUGAGUGUGACAUUUCACAUGGAGAAGACAUGCCAAAGAUUAGGGAAUGUGGGAGCACCAGCUGCGACUGCCUUGACAGGGUCGGGUGCCUCAAGGCUGUGAAGUUCAUAGCAUCUUACCCCAUGGCAAGAUCUUGGUACAUGCACUGAAGUGGUGUACAACUUAUGUGUUGAAAUAAAGAGAGUGUCUUCAAUUU